UACGUAGGGUCCGAGCGUUGUCCGGAAUUACUGGGCGUAAAGAGCUCGUAGGUGGUUUGUCGCGUUGUUCGUGAAAACCGGGGGCUUAACCCUCGGCGUGCGGGCGAUACGGGCAGACUUGAGUACUGCAGGGGAGACUGGAAUUCCUGGUGUAGCGGUGGAAUGCGCAGAUAUCAGGAGGAACACCGAUGGCGAAGGCAGUUCUCUGGGCCGUAACUGACGCUGAGGAGCGAAAGCGUGGGGAGCGAACAGG
rnacentral:rRNA from 1 species